rnacentral:rRNA from 1 species
CCCUUAGAUGUUCUGGGCCGCACGCGCGCUACACUGAUGCAUUCAACGAGUUUCUUCCUGGUCCGAGAGGAAUGGGUAACCUUUUGAAAGUGCAUCGUGAUAGGGAUAGCCUAUUGCAAUUAUUGGUCUUCAACGAGGAAUUCCUAGUAGACGUAGUUCAUCAGACUGCAUCGAUUACGUCCCUGCCCUUUGUACACACCGCCCGUCGCUCCUACCGAUUGAAUGCUCAGGUGAGCCAUUCGGACUUUCAUCAUGCUGGUUUCCAGUUUUGAUGAAGGAAAGUCUUGCGAACCUUAUCAUUUAGAGGAAGGAGAAGUCGUAACA